rnacentral:piRNA from 1 species
UGGCCCCAGCAUGGAUAACAGGUAGCUA